rnacentral:rRNA from 1 species
GACGAACGCUGGCGGCGUGCUUAACACAUGCAAGUCGAACGGAAAGGCCCUGCUUUUGUGGGGUGCUCGAGUGGCGAACGGGUGAGUAACACGUGAGUAACCUGCCAUUGACUUUGGGAUAACUUCAGGAAACUGGGGCUAAUACCGGAUAGGAGCUCCUGCUGCAUGGUGGGGGUUGGAAAGUUUCGGCGGUUGGGGAUGGACUCGCGGCUUAUCAGCUUGUUGGUGGGGUAGUGGCUUACCAAGGCUUUGACGGGUAGCCGGCCUGAGAGGGUGACCGGCCACAUUGGGACUGAGAUACGGCCCAGACUCCUACGGGAGGCAGCAGUGGGGAAUAUUGCACAAUGGGCGGAAGCCUGAUGCAGCAACGCCGCGUGCGGGAUGACGGCCUGCGGGUUGUAAACCGCUUUCGCCUGUGACGAAGCGUGAGUGACGGUAAUGGGUAAAGAAGCACCGGCUAACUACGUG